rnacentral:rRNA from 1 species
GGAUGCGAUCAUACCAGCACUAAAGCACCGGAUCCCAUUAGAACUCCGAAGUUAAGCGUGCUUGGGCGAGAGUAGUACUAGGAUGGGUGACCUCCUGGGAAGUCCUCGUGUUGCAUUCCC